CCCAAUCGAACCCGACAUCCCACAGGAGC
rnacentral:piRNA from 1 species